rnacentral:pre_miRNA from 1 species
UUUGUUGAGUGACAAACAGCGCAGGAACGAGACGAUAGGAAGAUCGUCUCGUUCCUGCGCUGUUUGUCACUCAGUUAU